rnacentral:lncRNA from 1 species
CUAAGUUUAUGUCACAAAAAUAGUCCUCAAAAACUAAAAAGACCAAAAUAGCAUUUUAUCUUUUGAAAAAAUUAAUUUUUUUUUUAUUUUUCAAAAUUUGAAAUCUUAUCCCAAAACCCCACUCCCCAACUCUAAACCCUAAAACCUAAACUCUAAACCCUAAACCGUAAAUCUUAAACCCUAAACCCUAAAUCCUAAACCCCACCCCUUAACUGUAAACCCUAAACCCCAUCCCUAAACUCUAAACCCUAAACCCUAAACCCUAAACCCUAAACCCUAAAUCCUAAAUCCUAAACCCCACCCCUUAACUUUAAACCCGAAUGUCUAAAUUAAUUUACCAUUGGAGUAUAAGUGUAUAUUUAUCUCUUUUGAUAAAACAUUAAGUGCUAUUUUGGUCAUUUUUACUUUUAGAGGCUAUAUUUGUGACAAAAACUUUUUUAGUGCUAUCCUAGUCAUUUUCUCUAUAAAAAAUUCUCUAUCUUUUAAGAUCCAUUUUCAUAUAUAUAUUAAUGUGUAAACAAAAUUAAAUGUGGACGUGGACACCUAUCAUAAUAAAUCAUAUAAAAAAGGUAAAAUCUUCAAAAUAACACAUAUCUAAGUUUAUGUCACAAAAAUAGUCCUCAAAAACUAAAAAGACCAAAAUAGCAUUUUAUCUUUUGAAAAAAUUAAUUUUUUUUUUAUUUUUCAAAAUUUGAAAUCUUAUCCCAAAACCCCACUCCCCAACUCUAAACCCUAAAACCUAAACUCUAAACCCUAAACCGUAAAUCUUAAACCCUAAACCCUAAAUCCUAAACCCCACCCCUUAACUGUAAACCCUAAACCCCAUCCCUAAACUCUAAACCCUAAACCCUAAACCCUAAACCCUAAACCCUAAAUCCUAAAUCCUAAACCCCACCCCUUAACUUUAAACCC